AGAAUUGAGAUUAAGAUAAACUCGUCAAACCUCAUAUCUGUCAUAUAUUAGAAUCAAUCGAUUCGAAUUUGAUAUAAAAUCUAAUAGAAACUUCUUUCUAUCUUUUACAUUGUCAUGGUCAUGGGCUUAUGGACUCAAUCUCAUGAUUUACAUAGGACUACUUCUCUAUCGAGAUUGAUAAAUCUCAUCUUGGUGCAAUCCAAUUUCUACAAUGAACGUAUUGCGGCCAACAUACACCUCAAAGCUCUAUAAUAGCUAGG
rnacentral:lncRNA from 1 species